rnacentral:lncRNA from 1 species
AUGCUGGCAGCCGCAGGCCUGCAAUUAACAAACGAGGUGCAUAGAUCGGUGCCUGCAAUUAACAAGGAGUGGAGUAGAGAUCGGUGCCUGCAAUUAAAAACAGAGGUAGAGGAGCGAUCGGUGCCUGCAAUUAACAAGGGGUGCAGCGAUCUGUGUCUGCAAUUAACAAACAGGGGUGGAGAGAUCGGCGCGCUGCUAAGCGCAGGCACCGGGGCCCGCCGGCGAGCGGGGGCUGGACCCCGGUGGGCCGGCUCCGGGCUCACCCGGUGCGGAGGGGCGGGCCGCCUUCCCACUGGUCCGCUCCAGCCGCGCGGCCUGCUGGCCACAGUUCCCAGCGGGCACCACCCGCUCGCGAGCCAGGCAGCCCCGGGCGGCGCGCGCCGGUCCGAGGGCGGGGACGUGCUCCGAGGACGCGCGCGGGGCUGGGCCUCCAACCGCCGCUCGCGGGGAAGAGGGCGGCUUCCCGCAAAGCCCGCCGCCGCCGCCGCCGCCGCCGCCGACUCGGAGGUGCCGAGGGUUGUGGGGGAGCUCGGGGCGCGCGGGAACAUCGCCGUCGCCCGGCGCGGCCCGGAGAAACUCUCGGCGUGGGCCACAGAACCCUUUGUCACAGGAGCAAUGCUGCCCUGGUGGGAACUGUCCUUUUACCUGUUAGCUUCCAUAGGCUUCCACUUCUAUUCCUUCUAUGAAGUCUACAAAGUCUCCAGAGAACAUGAAGAGGAGCUGGACCGAGAAUUUGACCUGGAGACUGACACUUUAUUCGGAGGAUUAAAGAAGGACCCGACUGACUUUGAGUGGAGCUUCUGGAUGGAGUGGGGGAAGGAGCGGCUGGUGUGGUUAUUCCUUGGCCACAUGAGCGUGUCUCAAGUCGCCAACCUGCUUUCGAGGAAGAGAGGGUGGUGCACGACCGAGAACGAGUGCUACCUGCUGCAGUUCACGCUGGCCGUGCGCUGUCUGUGCUACACCAGCUUCAGCCUGGAGCUGUGCUGGCGGCCCCCGCCGGCCGAGCGGCCCUCCUACUCCCUCCCCUGGAUGCUCGCCUACGUCUUCUACUACCCAGUCUUCCACAACGGGCCCGUCCUCAGCUUCCCGGAGUUCAUCGCACAGAUGCAGCAGCAGGAGCAGAGCUCGCCGAAGACCAGCCUUUCCAUCCUUGCCUUGGGGCUGGGCCGUCUCCUCUUCUACUGGUGGCUGGCAGAGCUGAUGGUUCAUCUCAUGUACAUGCACGCCAUCUACAGCAGUGCCUCCCUCCUGAGGGCCGUCUCGAGCUGGACCUUAGGAGGUCUGGCGCUGGCCCAGGUGCUCUUCUUCUACGUGAAGUACUUGGUGCUCUUCGGUGUCCCGGCUCUGCUCAUGCGCCUGGAUGGACUCAGGCCGCCGCCGCUCCCUCGCUGUGUGAGCACCAUGUUCAGCUUCACGGGGAUGUGGAGGCAUUUUGACGUUGGACUACAUGAUUUCUUGGUUAGGUACGUGUACAUCCCAGCGGGCGGGUCACAGCAUGGCCUGCUGGGGGCCCUCUUCUCCACUGCGAUGACGUUCGCGUUUGUGAGCUUCUGGCACGGCGGGAACGACUACCUGUGGUGCUGGGCCACCCUCAACUGGCUGGGGGUCACCGUGGAGAACGGCGUCCAGAAGCUCGUGCAGAGGCCGCGCAUCCAGCACAGCUUGGCCCAGUUCCUCUCCCCAGGAGCUCGCCGGCGAUUGCAUGCCGCUCUUGCCUCUUGUUCCACCUCCAUGCUGAUCCUGUCCAACCUGGUGUUUCUUGGGGGCAGUCAAGUCGGGGAAAUCUACUGGGAUAGGAUCUUCAUACAAGGCUGGCCGUGUGUGACCCUGUCUGUCCUGGGAUGCCUGUACUGCUACGCGCACGUGGGCAUUGCCUGGGCCCACACUUACUCUGGUAACUGA